rnacentral:rRNA from 2 species
GCGGCUAUAAUGCAGUCGAGCGGACUUUAAAAGCUUGCUUUUAAAGUUAGCGGCGGACGGGUGAGUAACACGUGGGCAACCUGCCUGUAAGACUGGGAUAACUUCGGGAAACCGGAGCUAAUACCGGAUAAUUCUUUUCCUCUCAUGAGGAAAAGCUGAAAGACGGCAUCUCGCUGUCACUUACAGAUGGGCCCGCGGCGCAUUAGCUAGUUGGUGAGGUAACGGCUCACCAAGGCAACGAUGCGUAGCCAACCUGAGAGGGUGAUCGGCCACACUGGGACUGAAACACGGCCCAAACUCCUACGGGAGGCAGCAGUAGGGAAUCUUCCGCAAUGGACGAAAGUCUGACGGAGCAACGCCGCGUGAGUGAUGAAGGUUUUCGGAUCGUAAAGCUCUGUUGUUAGGGAAGAACAAGUACAAGAGUAACUGCUUGUACCUUGACGGUACCUAACCAGAAAGCCACGGCUAACUACGUGCCAGCAGCCGCGGUAAUACGUAGGUGGCAAGCGUUGUCCGGAAUUAUUGGGCGUAAAGCGCGCGCAGGCGGUCCUUUAAGUCUGAUGUGAAAGCCCACGGCUCAACCGUGGAGGGUCAUUGGAAACUGGGGGACUUGAGUGCAGAAGAGAAGAGUGGAAUUCCACGUGUAGCGGUGAAAUGCGUAGAGAUGUGGAGGAACACCAGUGCGAAGGCGACUCUUUGGUCUGUAACUGACGCUGAGGC